rnacentral:rRNA from 1 species
AUCCUACGGGGGGCAGCAGUGAGGAAUAUUGGUCAAUGGGCGCGAGCCUGAACCAGCCAAGUCGCGUGAGGGAAGACGGCCCUACGGGUUGUAAACCUCUUUUGUCGGGGAGCAAAGAGAGUCACGUGUGACUCAUUGAGAGUACCCGAAGAAAAAGCAUCGGCUAACUCCGUGCCAGCAGCCGCGGUAAUACGGAGGAUGCGAGCGUUAUCCGGAUUUAUUGGGUUUAAAGGGUGCGUAGGCGGACGCUUAAGUCAGCGGUAAAAUUGCGGGGCUCAACCUCGUCGAGCCGUUGAAACUGGGUG